AUGGAAUUGAGGAACGGCAACAAAGCAAUCAGCAAUGAUCGAAUUUGUCUUUGUUCAGAUUCACCCUAAAACAAUCUCAAGGAAGUGGAAAAAAUCCCCAGCUCGUAACAAAAUUUCCGAAUUUUGCAACAAUUAAAGGAUAUAAAGAAGAAGUCAAAAUCAACAAAAUCCGACUCCUAAGCAGACUAAAAAUUCAAACGGUAACAAUCAAAAUCGAAUAAAAAGGAAGAUUCACAUUCAAAAACGCAGCUCACACAGAUCUUAAAGCUAAUAACAUCCCUCCACAAAAUAGAAUCACAUCGAACAAGAUAAAAAAAU